ensembl:lncRNA
GGACAGAUGAGACACACGUGUGUUUAUCUGCUGCAGAGAGACUGAUGAAGCAAUGCUGCCGUCACAGGCUUUGAGUGAGUACACUACAGAAAUGAAUUAAACAUUUUGAAUCUUAAGUUCAUUUUUAUUGUUGUAAUUUUAAACAACUAUCACAGCACUUUUCUUAUUCUUGAUUCCUGUGCAUUUGCUGCAGAUCUUUUGUGGUGGAGCAGGACCUGCAAGGAAAGGUGACGUUUGUGGAAAAAAGGGAAAACCUGAAACAAAAGGAUAUAAAGUAAGAUAAUUUUGUUUCUUCUAAUACAGAGAUCAGAUGACAUUAUGCUGUUGAAAUGACUUUUGUAUUGUGUUUGUGUGUUUUUGUAGGAUCUGAUAUGUCUGGAGACUGGUGUGUGCAGUGAGGAUGGAGAAGUCAACAGCAGCAUCCUGGAAAUGGUCCAGCGACACGGAUGAGACGCUCCAUCUCUCCACCUCUUACUGCCUCAUCAGGACUGGAUGCUGCUGUGGUCUCUUCAUUCUCAGUGACCCCAGAGCCAGCGAGAACAUCUAGAGAAAGACCAAAAGACACUGAGGAUGUGAUUUUGGUAGUCAUGCUCAUGGAGAGCAGGCACACGAAUGCUUGGAGCAGACACAGCAGCAGCCAGAUUGUCCCGCACGUGUUCCCUGCUCUUGAUUCAAGGUUGUGUGCUUCAGAGAGCCGUCGUCAUAGUCUUCCUCAUCCUCUUGCUCAACGAUGUCCCCAUUGAGAAGAGAGAGAUUGUGAAGCACAGCGCAGCUGCAGAAUUGGCACAGCAGUGUUGAGAUGGCAGUAGGUUAUGGGUUCACCAUCUGUAAAUACAUGACUGUUAGAACAAUAAGUCUGAAUGAAGCUUCGUUUCAUCUGUUGUUGACUUGUAUAUUUAUGUAUUUAUUGUGAUGCUUUUAUUCAUUCCUUUACUCAUUUAUUCAUGUUUCUUAUUGUUGUCAGUUAAUAAAAUAUUAAUAUUUUAUUAAUUAAUGUAUUAA